rnacentral:lncRNA from 1 species
GUUGACGUGGGAAGGGCCAGGAUCGCAAUCAAUGGACUUCCUGAUCCAUUUGCUAAGGUGGUGGUUGAUGGAUCUGGGCAAUGCCAUUCUAUAGAUACUGUGAAGAAUAUGCUCGAUCCAAAGUGGAAUCAACAUUAUGACCUGUAUAUUGAAAAGUCUGAUUCAGUUACAAUCAGUGUAUGGAAUCACAAGAAGAUCCAUAAGAAACAAGGUGCUGGAUUUCUCCGUUGUGUUCAUCUUCUUUCCAGUGCCAUCAACCACCUCAAAGACACUGGUUAGGUUGGAUUUAUGCAAACCUGGGCCAAAGGACAGUUAGAAGACGCCUCAUCUAGUUGAAUCUGAAGAUGUGGACCUGCUGAUGAAGAGGGCUGAUUGUAUCUAACUUAGGGUCUUGCAUGCAGCUGGCACUUAAUGCAUUUUAUUGACUGUUUUAGCUAACAUUCAAUGGACAAUUCCUAAUAAAAAAUUCUUAAAAGUAUGAAAAAGUGCAAGAUGUGCUUUGUUAAACAGAUGCUUGAAGGCAG